rnacentral:misc_RNA from 1 species
GUAGGUGAACCUGCGGAAGGAUCAUUAAUGAUUGACCGAAAGGUCUUAUCAACUAUCCAACACCUCUUGUGAACCGUUGACCUCCGGGUCUCUUUAUACAAACAUCAGUGUAUGAACGUCUUGUUAUCUUAACAAAAACAAAACUUUCAACAACGGAUCUCUUGGCUCUC